rnacentral:misc_RNA from 1 species
UACGGAGGGUGCAAGCGUUGUUCGGAAUCAUUGGGCGUAAAGCGCACGCAGGCGGCCUGUAAAGUCUGAUGUGAAAGCCCAGGGCUCAACCCUGGAGGUGCAUUGGAAACUGAUGGGCUUGAGAUCAAGAGGGGCUCGUGGAAUUCCUGGUGUAGGGGUGAAAUCCGUAGAGAUCAGGAGGAACACCGGUGGCGAAGGCGACGAGCUGGAUUGAUUCUGACGCUGAGGUGCGAAAGCGCGGGGAGCAAACAGG